CCUACGGGCGGCAGCAGUGGGGGAUAUUGCACAAUGGUCGGGACCCUGAUCCAGCGAAGCCGCGUGGGUGAAGAAGGGCCUCGGCGCGUUAAGCCUUGUUAGCAGGGAAGCAAAUGACGGUACCUGACGAAGAAGCCCCGGCUAACUACGUGCCAGAAGCCGCGGUUAUACGUAGGGGGCAAGCGUUAUCCGGAUUUACUGGGGGUAAAGGGGGCGCAGUCGGCGAUGCAAGCCAGGAGUGAAAGGCCGGGGCCCAACCCCGGGACUGCGCUUGGAACUGCGUGGCUGGAGUGCAGGAGGGGCAGGCGGAAUUCGUGGUGUAGCGGUGAAAUGCGUAGAUAUCAGGAGGAACACCGAUGGCGAAGGCAGCCUGCUGGACUGCAACUGACGUUGAGGCCCGAAAGCGUGGGUAGCAAACAGGAUUAGAUACCCUAGUAGUC
rnacentral:rRNA from 1 species